rnacentral:rRNA from 1 species
UGGGGAAUUUUCCGCGAUGGGCGAAAGCCUGACGGAGCAAUACCGCGUGAGGGAGGAAGGCUUUUGGGUUGUAAACCUCUUUUCUCAAGGAAGAAGCAAGUGACGGUACUUGAGGAAUCAGCAUCGGCUAACUCCGUGCCAGCAGCCGCGGUAAGACGGAGGAGGCAAGCGUUAUCCGGAAUUAUUGGGCGUAAAGCGUCCGCAGGUGGCAUCUCAAGUCUGCUGUCAAAGCCCAGGGCUCAACUCUGGAUCGGCAGUGGAAACUGAGGCGCUAGAGUACGGUAGGGGCAGAGGGAAUUCCCAGUGUAGCGGUGAAAUGCGUAGAUAUUGGGAAGAACACCAGUAGCGAAAGCGCUCUGCUGGGCCGUAACUGACACUCAUGGACGAAAGCUAGGGGAGCGAAAGGGAUUAGAUACCCCUGUAGUCC